AUCGGGCGUAGAUGGUGCGGCCGGAGACGAGUCUUGCGGCGGGGGCGAGGGAUGGGGGGAUGCGCACCACGGCUUGGCAUUGAGAGGCUCUGCAAGCAACCGGUGAUUAUGAGGCGAGGCGGUGGAGCUGGGCAGUGGCGCCGGAGGUAGGCGGCAGUAGGCGGUUCUGCUUGGACGACGAGAUAGAUGCGGCGGAGAACGGCAGCCGGCAUCGAGAUCGGCCGGGGCAAGCUGCUGGCGAGGUGCAGUGGUGUGGUCACGGCCGUCCGCGUCGAGCUUCGACCGCCGCGGGGGCUGAGGGGAGUAGUGGUGCCGGAGGAGAGCAGCAGGGGAGGGGCGGCGCCAGCUAGGAGGCGGAGAACGGCGGCCGGCAUCGAGGUCGGCCGGGACAAGUUGUUGGCGAUGUGCAGCUGGUGUGGUCGCGGACGUCCGCGUCGAGCAUCGCAGGGCGGUGCGGCACGCGGGAAGUGAGGCGGUGGUGCAGGCGCGCGGGUGAGGAAGGCCUGCCCCAGUCGCCGAGGUGCCAUGGGCCCCACCGUCCCGGAAUCCCCCCUCGAGGUCGAGCAGUCAGAGUCCGAGGGCCAGGGGCGGGACGACGACCGCGAGCGCUUCCCCCGCGCAGCCGCCGCCGCUUCCGCUAAUCGCUGCAACCUGCUUCUCUGUUGUUGCCAGUUUGUGGUCGUGUUCUUCUUCACUCUACAGGUACAGGGUGCUUUCGAUUGAAUUGAACAUUGGUUCUGUGUGAGUUAUUGUUUUCGGCCGCUCUGUGAUUACUGUGUUAAGAUUUAAUUUGGCUAUGCAUUGUUGACUGAUUGGUUUUUGUAUGGUACAUAUGCAACUGAUUGAUGCCAUGGCCGAUGGAUGCUCCUCUUGUUGAAUACAUGGGCUGCGUCCCCCUCUAAUUAAACUUCCUCAUCUCUAUUUGGAAGAUAUCCAGUGAUGUUGGUGAAUGGUGGUCCUCUUAUUUCGUGCUACUGGUCAAUGUUAACUUCUCCAACACCAUUUGUAAGAUGUACAUCCCGUGAUACUGUUGGUGGAAUGGUGGCCCUCUUAUUUCGUGCUAUUGGCCAAUGUUCUUCUGGAUGGUCUGCACAUUGUGUUCUCUUUUGGCCUGCAUGAUAGACCUUCAUGGCUAUGGCGCAUUACUAACCAUUGAUAUGGGCUCUCAAAAGUGGGAAUUUGCCUAGGAAGUACCCAUGCGGAUCUGUUCUUGAGAAGCCAGCAGCAAAAUGGUUGUCUGGGGAAGCUUUCCAUCUUUUAUGUAAUUCCAGACCUCGAUGAGUAGAUUAUCUGUGUAUUUUGCGACCAGCCUUGUGGUGUCCAAAAAGAUCUUCUACAGAAACCACCAAGAUAGAGCAAGAACCGAGUGCUUUUAGAUUUAUAGGCAAGUGGUAGUUCUGAACUUAAAAUUGUGCUCUCACUUCAUACCAAACAAAACAUUUCGAAUUUUUUAGCAACUUGAAGAUGUUCUCUUAGCGAUUCUAAAAUAUUCAUCAAAUCCAGCACAAAAAUUCCUUACUUUGACAAGCGUAGACUUAAGAAAGUGAAGUUCUCAAGUAUUGGUGGUAAAAUGAAGGAAUGUUAUGGACAUAUAGUGUGUUACUUUCUGAAAAUUGUUUGAGUGUUCAAGGAAAUUGACCUAACUGUUGUUUGGUUGAUCAGUUUGUCAUUUUCAUGCCAUCAUAUUUGUACAUACCUGAUUUCUUGAUUUGUGUGUUUCUAGGUGUUUGUAGAUAUCUUCUAUAUGCAAAAUUCUGCAUUCUCAUUUGGUUGUCAUACCACUCUUCAGAUUUCUCUUACUACACUAUGUCAGUUCGAAUUGUACUCUCGAAUUUCUUGCUAAUAGAAUUAAUAAGCUUUCAGAUUCGUCCAUCGAAGUAUUCUUUGGUUUUCUUUACAUUUUACUCUCUCUGUGUAGUUAGCUCUGCUUUGCCAUAUUAAUAGUCUUUGAAUCUACAAUUUAUUUGGUCAUUUGAGCUACGUACUUGAAUGACGUUCUGCUAAAAAAAAGGGAAAUGGAUCGAGAUUAACCUUUAGUAUCGAGAUGACUUUCUAUAUUGAGAUGUAUCGAGAAAGAGCUAAAAGAUACUUGCAAUAGAUGUGUACCAGGUACGUAUGGAAGAAACAUUGUAUACUAAGAAGUAGUUGACCAUCUGUAGAAAUAUACACUGCAAUCUGUUUCAUGUACGCACAGUGCUAUGUCCACUUCCAGUAUAUCUAUGUUGGAUAUCCAGUUGAUUACUAAAUGCUUUAUUUUUUUUCGAUUUUAGGUUGUAUUUCACACCGAUGUGAGCAGCUGACCACUAUUUAGUUCUCCUAUCCGUGUUUACAUACACUGAAGGUUUUUCCGAUGCCAACGGUUGUCAUGUGAGCUUCUCUGUGGUUUAUGUGAAGCUGGUACUAGAAGGCACAUAUAAUUUGUACCCUGAAGUGGGGCCUUCUAUAAUUUUUCAUUCCGUUAGCAUACAUGUUUCUCUAGAGUUGUUACAUACAGCCCUGUGUAUGCAUUGUGCACUUAGUUAAUUGAUGUUGUUUCUUGCCCCUUGACUUUGAGGAUA